CUUAAUCCCCUCACCAUGUGUCGUUGCCCAGGUGAAUUUAUUUCCAGUCAAUCCCAUAUCAAUAAGUUGACAGUUUACAAGAGCAUUCUGGAAGCCUGCCAUUUGUCCAUCACUUCUCAGGGCGCCACCUUCUUGUUCCUCUGCACGUAAAAUUUCAUUAAAAUCUCCAAUGCAACACCACAGCAAAUAUGAAUUCGCAUACAAAUGUUCAAGCAGCUACCAUGAUUUGUGGCGAUCCUUUUUCGCUGGAAAACCAUAAAAGAAUGUGAUUCUCUAGUGCACAAUUUUCUUCCAAACCUCCUACUUCAAAAUCUAAAUGAUUUUGAGAAUAAGUUCUCAAUGAGAGAUUAGCCCCUCCUUCAACAUAGCACAUAAACCCCUAGAACAGCUGAUAGGGUUAAAAUCACUGAAAAUACUUGCAAGAAUACAAGUUAAUUGUAAUAUAAUUGCUCAUGCAAGGUCGUUGUCCCCAAAGAUUGUUUGACUAAUUCGUAAUUAAAUCAACUCUUAAUUAACUAUUAAAACAGAUUUUUAUCAAAGAGUUGAGAUUUUUGAGUUUGAAAAUAUUGAAUUAACAAUUAAAGAAACCUAGAAGUUAGAAAAUAAAGGCAGCAAACAGAAAAACCUUUUUUUAAUUAAAAUCAAUUUAGGGAAAGACUAGGGUUUAGCCGUCACCGUCACAAUCAUAUGCAAUUCUAUCAAUUACUUAUGAAUUUCCACAUCCAUGCUUUGAAGGUUAGGUUUUCCUAAUGCAUAUUUUCUUUGUGAUGUUCAAGCGAAAACGUAUAUCUAGCAUGCAAUCCGUCUGUGAUGUUCAGAUCAAAUAUAAACAUGUAAGAUUCACUAAGCUUCGUGAAAACCUUUUAAAAAACCAUGCAACCCUUAAGAGCGUGAUGUUCGCCUUAAAUGAACUUACAAUUACUAAUCACAAGAAGCCCUCCCCAAUUUCAAUGUGAUGUUCCAACAGAAAUUGCAUCAAAUUACUUGUCUAAAUACCCUAAUGGUGAUCAAUCAUUAAAAUAUAUAGAUAGUUUUAAUCGCAGUGAUUAAUAAUUCAAAGCAAGCAUGCAUCCAUUCAUAAGCAAAUUAAUAAAACUACAUAUUCUUGCUAAGGAUCAUGGCCUAACCCUAGCAAAAGAAUUAGUUACGCAUACUCAUAAUAAAAAUCAAAGGAAAAAUCAUUAAAAUGAAUAAGAAUGAAAACGCCUCCGAGUAGAAAAUCUUCAAGAACCCUAGCAAUUCUCUCUGUCUCCAAAGUUUCAUAAAAACAAGCGUAGCUAAAAAACUAAGAACGGCCAAGCAAUAUAUUUGCUAAGCCAUCCACAAACUCUAAAACAUAGGUCUCUUAUUCCGAUUAGGAAACUAAGAAAAAUAAUAAAAUAUCUCAGAAAAUAAAACCCUAAUUAAACUAGGAGAAUCUGCCAAGUACUUGUCUAGCCACGUUUUACCCUCAUCUCCUCCAAAUCCGGCCCAAGAUAGCUUGUUUAAAAGAUCAGGACAUUCCGAACACAUCUCUAAAAGGCCACGAAACCAUCCAAGGUCAUUUUGGGCUCCAAAAACGCAAUUUAAGCCCUAAAACGUCAUUUUCCAGUACUGCGCAUCACU
rnacentral:lncRNA from 1 species